GACGAACGCUGGCGGCGUGCUUAACACAUGCAAGUCGAACGGAAAGGCCCUGCUUUUGUUGGGCGCUCGAGUGGCGAACGGGUGAGUAACACGCGAGUAACCUGCCCCUGACUUUGGGAUAACUCUAGGAAACUGGGGCUAAUACCGGAUAGGAGCUCCUGCUGCAUGGUGUGGGUUGGAAAGAUUCGGCGGUGGGGGAUGGACUCGCGGCUUAUCAGCUUGUUGGUGGGGUAGUGGCUUACCAAGGCUUCGACGGGUAGCCGGCCUGGGAGGGUAACCAGCCACAUUGGGACUGAGAUACGGCCCAGACUCCUACGGGAGGCAGCGGUCGGGAAUAUUGCACAAUGGGCGGAAGCCUGAGGCAGCAACGCCGCGUGCGGGAUAACGGCCUUCGAGUUGUAAACCGCUUUCGCCUGUGACGAGGCGUGAGUGACGGUAAUGGGUAAGGAAGCACCGGCUAACUACGUG
rnacentral:rRNA from 1 species